GCGCUCUUGGCGGAAUUGGCAGACGCAGUGGAUUUAAAAUCCACCGCCUAUGGCGUACGGGUUCGAGUCCCGUAGAGCGCA
rnacentral:tRNA from 1 species